GGUGCGUAACGCGUAUGCAACCUGCCUGACACAGGGGGAUAAUCCGAAGAAAUUUGGUCUAAUACCCCAUAAUACCGAUAUAGGCAUCUAUGUUGGUUGAAAGCUUUGGUGGUGUCAGAUGGGCAUGCGUUGUAUUAGCUAGUUGGUGAGGUAACGGCUCACCAAGACCGCGAUCGGUAGCCGGACUGAGAGGUUGAACGGCCACAUUGGGACUGAGACACGGCCCAGACUCCUACGGGAGGCAGCAUG
rnacentral:rRNA from 1 species